rnacentral:piRNA from 1 species
UUCUUCACUAUCUGUCUGCCUUGCAG